rnacentral:rRNA from 1 species
AUUGAACGCUGGCGGAAUGCUUUACACAUGCAAGUCGAACGGCAGCACGGGGGCAACCCUGGUGGCGAGUGGCGAACGGGUGAGUAAUACAUCGGAACGUGCCCAGUCGUGGGGGAUAACGUAGCGAAAGCUACGCUAAUACCGCAUACGAACUCAGGUUGAAAGCGGGGGAUCGCAAGACCUCGCGCGAUUGGAGCGGCCGAUGGCAGAUUAGGUAGUUGGUGGGGUAAAGGCCUACCAAGCCGACGAUCUGUAGCUGGUCUGAGAGGACGACCAGCCACACUGGGACUGAGACACGGCCCAGACUCCUACGGGAGGCAGCAGUGGGGAAUUUUGGACAAUGGGCGCAAGCCUGAUCCAGCCAUUCCGCGUGCAGGAUGAAGGCCUUCGGGUUGUAAACUGCUUUUGUACGGAACGAAAAGGCUCUGGUUAAUACCCGGGGCUCAUGACGGUACCGUAAGAAUAAGCACCGGCUAACUACGUGCCAGCAGCCGCAGUAA